GACGAACGCUGGCGGCACGCUUAACACAUGCAGGUCGAACGAGAGAAGAGAAGCUUGCUUUUCUGAUCUAGUGGCGGACGGGUGAGUAACACGUGAGCAAUCUGCCUUUCAGAGGGGGAUACCGAUUGGAAACGAUCGUUAAUACCGCAUAACAUAAUUGAACCGCAUGAUUUGAUUAUCAAAGAUUUAUCGCUGAAAGAUGAGCUCGCGUCUGAUUAGCUAGUUGGUAAGGUAACGGCUUACCAAGGCGACGAUCAGUAGCCGGACUGAGAGGUUGAUCGGCCACAUUGGGACUGAGACACGGCCCAGACUCCUACGGGAGGCAGCAGUGGGGAAUAUUGCACAAUGGAGGAAACUCUGAUGCAGCGAUGCCGCGUGAGGGAAGAAGGUUUUAGGAUUGUAAACCUCUGUCUUCAGGGACGAAAAAAGACGGUACCUGAGGAGGAAGCUCCGGCUAACUACGUG
rnacentral:rRNA from 1 species